rnacentral:rRNA from 1 species
GACGUGAGGGCGCGAGCGUUGUCCGGAUUUAUUGGGCGUAAAGAGCUCGUAGGCGGCUCAUUGCGUCAACCGUGGAAAUCCUGCUGCUCAACGGCAUGGUCUGCGGUUGAUACGGGUGGGCUGGAGUUCGGUGAUGGGAGACUGGAAUUCCUGGUGUAGCGGUGAAAUGACGCAGAUAGUCAGGAGGAACACCGGUGGCGA